GUCAUAUGCUUUUUUCAAGGGCUAAGCCAUGCAUGUAUCAGAGUACACGAAUGCCUGUUCAACAGUUGGUCUGCGAAUGGCUCAUUAAAUCCAAUUAUUGCCUGCCUGGUGAAGCUGUGGUGACCUUCUGGUCAACUCUGCAGUCAAGUGGAUAACCGUUCCAAAUGGGUGGCUAAUACACUGAAGAGAAAGGACUGCUUCAACAUCACAAGUUGAUGAUGACUCUGUGCGCUGCUGGGAAACUGGCAGCCACUCUGUCAGAAGGGUUCUGUGGAGCGUCGAAUCAAAGGCUGGCGCUUCUCACGAAGCAGCCUGUACUGUUGAAUCAGACGCUCCUUGUCGAUUGACGAAGCAGAGUGACCGUAGUGUUGCUGCGAAACCAGAUGGAUUUCUGUCCUAUCAUGCUAUCGAUGGUGCUGUAUUGGACCACCAUUGCCCUUACGGGUAACGGGGAAUUUGGGUUUGAUUCCGGAGAGGGAGCCUGAAAGAUGGCUACCACAUCUAAGGAUGGCAGCAGGCGCGCAAAUUGCCCAUUGCGGGAACGAACGUGAGGCAGCGACGAAGAAUGGCAACGGUGUUGGUCUUAUGGCCAUACGCUGUUCGCAAUGGAUGUUAUUCCAAAACGCUCAGUGAGCAUCGAUUGGAGGGCAAGUCUGGUGCCAGCAGCCGCGGUAAUUCCAGCUCCAAUAGUGUAUACAAAUGUUGCUGCUGUUAAAACGCUCGUAGUUGAUUGCAGAGUGACAGGUGCUGCUUCUGAUCACUUCGGUGGUCAUCAAGGAAGUGGCAAUGCCAGUUACUCGCCCGAUGCGGAAUCAGUCUCAUGGUUGGAGCUGUCUUCACUGACGGUGUCCAGCAGCAUCUGCACGACAGUCAUGCUAUGGCUUUCCAAAGAGAGUGUCCGCUGAAAGUACCGUGAACAAAACAGUGUGUUCAAAGCAGCCCAUCUGUUGGCUGCAUGACAAAGCACGGGAUGCUAACGGAUCGACCGCAAGGAUUGCUCUGUUCUGCCAGUCUUUGGCUCCUUAUGGGAAAUCUGAUGGCUUGGUGCUUUCGGUCUUGUGGUUCAGCUCUACGGAGUCGUUCUGCUUGCUGAUAUGCUACCAGUCAUCGUUCGGAACUGAAGAGUCUACUCGGGGCCCAGCAUACCGCCAAGCGAGAGGUGAAAUUCUUGGACCUUGGUGUGAUGAACUACAGCGAAAGCACUGUUGGCAAGUGCAUGACUGUCAAUCAAGAACGAGAGUGUGGGGAUCGAAGAUGAUCAGAUACCGUCGUAGUCCACUUCUGUAAACUGUGCCGGCUGAGCGUGGGCAAUGAUCUUCUCUCAAGAUGUUCUUGUCCGCUCUUUCCUCCCACAACGAGAAAUCCAAGCUUAUGGGUUCAGGGGGGAGUACAUUAGCAAGGCUGAAACUUGAAGGAAUUGACGGAAUGACACCACCAGGCGUGGAGUCUGCGGCUUAAUUUGACUCAACGCGGGAAAUGUUACCGGGUCAGGACGCAGCAAUGAUGGACAGAUUGAGAGCUCUUUCUUGAUUCUUCGGAUGGUGGUGCAUGGCCGUUCCUGGUUCGUGGAGUGAUCUGUCUGGUUGAUUCCGUUAACGAGCGAGAUCUUUGCCUCUCCAUAGUGACCAUGUCGAUCGUAAGACUGGUGCCGUUUUGACUUCCUUCGGGUUGCCGAGACUGGUACUGUCUGAGACGUGACUUUCAACUUCUCAGAUGAUCCGCCAGUGCUUCCAAUCUGGCGUAAGCAAAAGGCGACAGCAGGUCUGUGAUGCCCCUAAAUGUUCCGGGCCGCACGCGCACGACAUUGAGGCUUACUGCAAGCCUGACUGUGUCUUUAUGGCCAGUCAUCCUGAACUGAAAGACUUUCUGGGAAAUCUGCUCACAAGGCGUGUAACUGGAAUUGAUGGUUGCAAUUAUUUGUCAUGAAUGAGGAAUGCCUAGUAUGCGUGGCUCAUCAGGCCACACAGAUUGAGUCCCUGCCAUUUGUACACACCGCACGUCAUUCCUACCGAUGAUGGAUGAAUUGAGGUUUCAGAAGGCGAUUGAAGAUCACAAUGUGAUCAGAUCGGUUGAAUUUGCCCAAAAUUCCUCUGCUAGAGGAAGGAAAAGUCGUAACAAGGUAGCUGUAGGUGA
rnacentral:rRNA from 1 species